UACAGAGGUCCCAAGCGUUGUUCGGAUUUACUGGGCGUAAAGGGUGCGUAGGCGGUCGUGAAAGUCUGGUGUGAAAGCUCAGAGCUUAACUCUGAAACCGCACUGGAAACUUCAUGGCUAGAGGAAUGGAGGGGGGACUGGAAUUCUCGGUGUAGCAGUGAAAUGCGUAGAUAUCGAGAGGAACACCAGUGGCGAAGGCGAGUCCCUAGACAUUAUCCUGACGCUGAGGCACGAAAGCCAAGGGAGCAAACGGG
rnacentral:rRNA from 1 species